rnacentral:rRNA from 1 species
CCUACGGGAGGCUGCAGUGAGGAAUAUUGGUCAAUGGACGAGAGUCUGAACCAGCCAAGUAGCGUGAAGGAUGACUGCCCUAUGGGUUGUAAACUUCUUUUAUAUGGGAAUAAAACAGGGUAUGCAGACCCUCUUGUAUGUACCAUAUGAAUAAGGAUCGGCUAACUCCGUGCCAGCAGCCGCGGUAAUACGGAGGAGCCGAGCGUUAUCCGGAGUUAUUGGGUUUAAAGGGAGCGUAGGUGGAUUGUUAAGUCAGGUGUGAAAGUUUGCGGCUCAACCGUAAAAUUGCCGUUGAAACUGGCAGUCUUGAGUACAGUAGAGGUCGGCGGAAUUCGUGGUGUAGCGGU